rnacentral:tRNA from 2 species
GCUUCUGUAGUGUAGUUCGGUCAAUCUAACGUAGCUUUCACCCUCGGGACCCGGGUUCGAAUCCCGGCAGAAGCA